GCGGCGUUGGGGGAGGGCGGGAUGCUGGGGAGGCAGUGGGGGCGUGCUGUGGGGGCAUCCUGGGCGUGGGCCGGUCCACCGGGGGUUCAGCGGCCGCGGGUAGUGGGAACGGGGCUGGGCGACGGGGCACAGGCCACACGCAAGGAGAAGUGAGCUUGCUUGCCUGCGAAAGCAUGGGGCGGGGGGCAGCUGUGGAUGCUGCGCUGUUUGGGUUUUGCCUGACGUCAUUUUUCUUUCUGGUCCAGCGGCCUCCCGGAUGCUUGCGGCAGAAGGCGCUGGUGUACCCCUAUCAUGGGCAGGUCAGUUCUGAGCCCCGCGACCCGUGCCCUGUCGGAUCCAGAUGCUAACACCCCAACAAGCCUUUCCCCCAGAUCCCCCAGUUCUUAGCCAAUAAAAGAUCUGGGAUUGAAGCACCUACCCCUUAAACCCAGUCCCAGGGUCUGCCUCACCAGGGCGCCCUUGAAGUGGUGAAAUGUGUUGGUAGCUGGGCUUAACGCUCUUAUCCCCAGAGCGUUGAGAACCUGCUGUUGCCACCAUGGCCCUUUCCUCCCCAACAUGACAGCGUGUUCAUUUCUUUGUAGCAACCCCUUGGGAAGAGCUGAAGACCAGCCAGGGGAGAGGGAAAAAAAAAAAGCACAGAACACAUGCUGGUUCCAGAUUCCUGGCAAGAAUCAGAGCGCCUGUGCUGUGCUGAAAGCCGGUCCAAGCACAGAGCAGCAGAGGCCGCUUGGAGCAGCUGCUGUCGACUUCCGCCUCGCUGGACAGCAUCCCUUCAGAUCCAUCUUUUCAAGAAACUGUGGCCAGGACACUGCUGAUCUGCUUGCUGUCAUCUCUCGUGUGGUUCUUGGGUGUCUCUUCAGAACAUGCUCCGAGGCUCCUCUUACGUUUCCCUGCAAAGAACCCUUGUAAGGGGGCUGCCUACACAUGGCCUGCAUCUCUCGUUUCUACCAUUGAGUUAGGUAAGGCAUCCUCAAGCCCCACAGCUGAAAAACUUAUUCGUGUGUCCACUGCAAAGCCACCGACUGUCCACGAGGCCUGGCUCAGAGGCCUCCCUUGCAGAAGGGAGGUUCCGCCAGUGAUGAGCGGGCGCGUCCCGCUGGCAGAGAAAGCUCUGUCUGAAAGCUAUGCCCGGCUUCGAUACAGAGACACCUCCUUGCUCAUUUGGCAACAGCAGCAGCAGAAGUUGGAAUCUGUGCCACCUGGGACGUACCUGAGCCGGAGCCGAAGCAUGUGGUACUCUCAGUACGGGAACGAGGCCAUCCUUGUCCGGGACAGAAACAAGCUGGAGGUCUCCCGGGACACGGGCCAGUCCAAGUUUUGCUCUGUUAUGUAACUUCUGGUGUGAAAAGCGAGCCCAGGCGCCGCCCUGUCUCCACCUCCAGCCCUUGCCCGGAGGUCCUGGCUGUGAACGUGAAGGCUGAGCUGCAGCGGAAGGACCCCAGGAUGCCAGGGAUGGCGCCCCAGCCCAUUUGCAGUCAGGGUGACUGGUGGACUUGGCUUCUGGCCUCCAUUUUGAGCUUCCGGGCACUGCGGGCACAGCCCAGGCUGGGGCACGACGGGAUGCCACUCUGCUUAUGCUUCCAAAUAAAGCAAGCAAGAGGGACGUCCA
rnacentral:lncRNA from 1 species